rnacentral:rRNA from 1 species
CCUGGUUGAUCCUGCCAAUAGUCAUAUGCUUGUCUCAGAGAUUAAGCCAUGCAUGUCUAAGUAUGAACUAAUUUAGACUAUGGAACUGCAGAUGGCUCAUUAAAUCAGUUAUAGUUUUUUUGAUUGUACCAUACUACUUAGAUAACUGUAGUAAUUCUAGAGCUAAUACAUGCACCAAGUCCUGACUCUUUGGAAGGGAUGCAUUUUUUAGAUAAAAGGCAGUCGCAGGCUUGUACGCUUCUCCGAUGAAUCAUGAUAACUCGAUGGAUCACACAGCCCUUGUGAUGGCGAUGCUUCAUUCAAAUUUAUGCUCUAUCAAAUUUCGAUGGUAGGAUAGAGGCCUACCAUGGUGGUGAUGGGUGAUGGAGAAUUAGGGUUCAAUUCUGGAGAGGGAGCCUGAGAAACGACUACCACAUCCAAGGAAGGUUGCAGGUGCACAAAUUACCCAAUCUUGACAUGGGGAGGUAGUGACAAUAAAUAACAAUACUGGGCUCAUCAAGUCUGGUAAUUGGAAUGAGUACAAUCUAAAUCCCUUAACGAGGAUCCAUUGGAGGGUAAGUUUGGUGCCAGCAGCCGUGGUAAUUCCAACUCCAAUAGUGUAUAUUUAAGUUUUUGCAAUUAAAAAGCUCGUAGUUGGAUCUUGGGUCAUAAAGGUUGGUACGCCUACUUGGUGUGAACCUGCCCUUCCGUCCCUUUUGUCGGAGGCAUGCUCCUGGCCUCAAUUGGAUGGGUCGCGGCUCUGAUGCUAUUACCUUGAAAAAGUUAGAGUGUUCAAAGCAAUCUUAUGCUUUGAAUACGUUAGCAUGGAAUAAUGUGAUAGGAGUCUAGUCCUAUUGUGUUGGCCUUGAGGACCAAAGUAAUGAUUAAUAGGGACUGUCAGGGGCAUUCGUAUUUCAUUGUAACAUGUGAAAUUAUUGGAUUUAUGAAGGAAGGACCACUACGAAAGCAUUUGCCAAGGAUGUUUUCAUUAAUCAAGAACAAAAUUUGGGGGCUUGAAGAUGAUCAGAUACCGUCCUAUUCUUAACCAUAAACAAUGCCAACCAGGGAUUGGCAGAUGUUUCUCUAAGGACUCUGCCAACACCUUUUGAGAAAUUAGAGUGACUGGGUUCUGGGGGGAGUAUGGUCGCAAGGCUGAAACUUAACGUUAUUGACGAAAGGGCACCACCAGGAGUGGAGCCUGCGGCUUAAUUUGAAUCAACACGGAGAAACUUACUAGGUCCAGACAUAGUAAGGAUUGAAAAAUUUAGAGAUCUUUCUUGAUUCUAUGGGUGGUGGUGCAUGGCCAUUCUUAGUUGGUGGAGCGAUUUGUAUGGUUAAUUCCGAUAAUCAACAAGACCUCAACCUAAUAACUAGCUACAUGGAGGUUCCCCUUCGCGACUAGCUUCUUAGAGGGACUAUGGCCAUUUAGGCCAUGGAAGUUUAAGGCAAUAACAGGUCUAUGAUGCCCUUAGAUGUUAUGGGUUGCACGUGUGCUACACUGAUGUAGCCAAUGAGUUUUUCUUCCUGGUUCGAGAGGAUCGGGAAAUCUUCUCAAAUUGCAUUGUGAUGGGGAUAUACCAUUGCAAUUAUUGGUCUUCAACAAGGAAUUCCUAGUAAGGGCGUGUCAUCAACUCAUGUUGAAUAUGUCCCUGCCCUUUGUACACAUCGCCUAUCACUCCUACUGAUUGAAUGAUCCAGUGAAGUGUUUGGAUUGCGUCGACGAUGGUGGUUCCUCAUCGUCAACAUCAUGAGAAGUUCAUUGAACCUUAUCAUUUAGAGGAAGGAGAAGUCGUAACAAGGUUACCGUAGGUGAACCUACGGUAG